CUUCAAUUAAAGUGUGGGCUGUGG
rnacentral:piRNA from 1 species